rnacentral:rRNA from 1 species
GACGAACGCUGGCGGCGUGCCUAAUACAUGCAAGUUGAGCGCUGAAGGUUGGUACUUGUACCAACUGGAUGAGCAGCGAACGGGUGAGUAACGCGUGGGGAAUCUGCCUUUGAGCGGGGGACAACAUUUGGAAACGAAUGCUAAUACCGCAUAAAAACUUUAAACACAAGUUUUAAGUUUGAAAGAUGCAAUUGCAUCACUCAAAGAUGAUCCCGCGUUGUAUUAGCUAGUUGGUGAGGUAAAGGCUCACCAAGGCGAUGAUACAUAGCCGACCUGAGAGGGUGAUCGGCCACAUGGGGACUGAGACACGGCCCAAACUCCUACGGGAGGCAGCAGUAGGGAAUCUUCGGCAAUGGACGAAAGUCUGACCGAGCAACGCCGCGUGAGUGAAGAAGGUUUUCGGAUCGUAAACUCUGUUGGUAGAGAAGAACGUUGGUGAGAGUGGAAAGCUCAUCAAGUGACGGUAACUACCCAGAAAGGGACGGCUAACUACGUG